rnacentral:rRNA from 1 species
GAGUUGAUCCUGGCUACAGAACGAACGCUGGCGGCGCGUCUUAAGCAUGCAAGUCGAACGGCAAGAGGUAGCAAUACCUCCUAGAGUGGCGGACUGGUGAGUAACACGUGGGUGACAUACCCUUCAGAUGGGGAUAGCUAUUAGAAAUAGUAGAUAAUACCGAAUACGAGCACAGGGGUUAGAGAUCUGUGAGGAAAGGAGCUAAGGCUCCGCUGAAGGAAUGGCCUGCGGCCCAUUAGCUAGUUGGUGAGGUAAGAGCCCACCAAGGCGAUGAUGGGUAUCCGGCCUUAGAGGGUGAACGGACACAUUGGGACUGAGAUACGGCCCAGACUCCGUACGGGAGGCAGCAGCUAAGAAUAUUCCGCAAUGGACGAAAGUCUGACGGAGCGACGCCGCGUGGAUGAAGAAGGCCGGAAGGUUGUAAAAUCCUUUUGAAACUGAAGAAUAAGCGUUGUAGGGAAUGACAGCGUGGUGACAGUAGGUUUUGAAUAAGCAACGGCUAAUUACGUGCCAGCCGCCGC